rnacentral:lncRNA from 1 species
ACGUGCUAAUUUUAUAAUUUGGAAAAGCAUUAUUUGAAAAUAAAGUUUGCUGUCUUAAAGUAUCGGCAAAAUGGAAUUAGAUUAAAAUUAUUCUUAAAUAAUAAACUUUAGCCUAUCUUAAUGCUAACUUUUAGCAACAAACCAAUUUGCAUUUUAAAAGUUUGUUUUGCAAACACACUGAGGUAUAACAAACAAAAGAUGUUCUUUACUAAUGUAUUUUUUACAGAUGAGCUUAUUUUUAACUCCACAGACUUAAUAAAAUAAAUAAUGGCUCUGUCCAUAUCAACCUUUCAGAAGGUGUGAGCACAAGCUAAAAUAUACAUGAGUUUCUGUAAGUUUUCAUGACUUUGCAGCAUCUUAAGGUUUUAAAAUAGAAUAGCCCGUGAAAAGAGAAGAGUACUAAACGGAAAAAUUAGUACUGGCCUAGGAAGUGAUUCACAUGAGAAAGUGAAUUCUUGAAGCCUAAUUUACAAAUGCCUAUGGAAUCGCAUAACACAGCUCAUUACACCUGGAUUUCGAUGUAACAGAGUAGAUCUGACAAAGAAUCAAAGACCUUUAAGCUGAAAGCUUCUUUAUUUUGCAGGGGAGGACAUGAACUUUGCAAAUGAGGAGCCAGAAAGAACUGACUUGCUCAAGGUCACAUGACUUAUAACUCAGGUUUCCUGACUUAUUAGUUCACUGGCUCAGGAACAGCCACUACUCAGCUAAGACAUGGUAUUGUUUCGGACUUCAUCUCACAUAUGUAAUGAAAAUCUCUGUGUCAAUGAAUCACCUAGACCAAGUUCCUGUUAAUUUCACAAGAGUUCCUGGAAGCAAAGAUGUGACGGUAUCAGAAAGAAACUCAUGAUAGCCCAAGGACCACAGUUACAUCUCAUCUAGCCUUGCCUUUUCCUCUUUGGGAAAGGAAAUCUAAUUGCUCUGGAGACACAACCAUAACACUGACCUUCCUUUUUUCCUGAGUAGAGGAGAAUUAAAUAAACCCUGGGACUUCUCACUUGAAACAGAACAUCAACACCCAUUAAAAGUCUGUCUACUGCACAGUUAACCUAUCUUAGAAGAGUUAGUGCCUCUUCAGGCACUAGCAGAAAACAAAGCUUCCAAAUCAUUAUCAGGAUGGCCCUUCACUGCAAAGACUCUAUGUUUAAAUGUUUCAUUUACUUGCAGCAUGCUAAUUGCCACUAGACCCCACUUGCCAAUUGAUAAACAGGUGUCAAGCAUAACACUGGAUUUAGAAGGCCAUAUCUGUCAUCUUACAAUGAUAUUCUACUUAAUAAAUUCAUCAUCACUGACUUAGCCACUUGCUACAAAGCUAUCAGAGUUGAAUGUAAAGAAGCUGGAAAAACAUUCGCUGAAUUUCCUAUCCAAAUAUAACCACCAUCUUGGUCAGACACAUGGGCUCUUUGAUAUGAGAUAUGAAGAAGAUAUCCUCAGCUAGUUCGCUCAAUUCAGCAGCAACAUAAUAAAGAAGAAAAUGAAAUUAUUGUCAAGACAGUCUCAAGAACUGAAGGAAAUUCAGAUGAAAUAAAACUGGGCAGGAAGGAAAAGGAAGAGGGGAGAAGAAAAAAGGA